UACGGAGGGUGCGAGCGUUGUCCGGAUUUAUUGGGUUUAAAGGGUGCGUAGGUGGCUUUAUAAGUCAGUGGUGAAAUACGGUUGCUCAACGAUCGAGGUGCCAUUGAUACUGUAAAGCUUGAAAUAAUUGGAGGCUGCCGGAAUGGAUGGUGUAGCGGUGAAAUGCAUAGAUAUCAUCCAGAACACCGAUUGCGAAGGCAGGUGGCUACGAUUGGUUUGACACUGAGGCACGAAAGCAUGGGGAGCAAACAGG
rnacentral:rRNA from 1 species